UACGUAGGGAGCAAGCGUUGUUCGGAUUACUGGGCGUAAAGGGCGCGUAGGCGGUCGUGACAAGUCACUUGUGAAAUCUCCGGGCUUAACUCGGAACGGUCAAGUGAUACUGUCGGACUAGAGUACAGAAGGGGCAACUGGAAUUCUCGGUGUAGCGGUGAAAUGCGUAGAUAUCGAGAGGAACACCUGCGGCGAAGGCGGGUUGCUGGGCUGAUACUGACGCUGAGGCGCGAAAGCCAGGGGAGCGAACGGGG
rnacentral:rRNA from 1 species